rnacentral:rRNA from 1 species
UACGUAGGGGGCAAGCGUUGUCCGGAUUUACUGGGCGUAAAGAGCGCGCAGGCGGUCGUUCAAGUCGAGUGUGAAAGCCCCCGGCUCAACUGGGGAGGGUCACUCGAUACUGAUCGACUGGAAGGCAGGAGAGGGAAGCGGAAUUCCCGGUGUAGUGGUGAAAUGCGUAGAUAUCGGGAGGAACACCAGUGGCGAAGGCGGCUUCCUGGCCUGUUCUUGACGCUGAGGCGCGAAAGCUAGGGGAGCAAACGGG